rnacentral:lncRNA from 1 species
UCUAUCAAGGGAUGUCGCCCCCUUUUCACAAAUCCAUGCAAAAAUUAUUUAAUGCCCAAACCAUCUUUCUUUCUUAUGGUAAAAUCAGAUCUCAUCUGAUUUCCCAUGCCAAAAAUAUUCUUCCUUUUGUCACACAAAAGAAAAAGAAUUAAGAGAAGUGGGCGGCAAGGUCUAUGGAUAAGGUCAAAUCUUAUCUAAUAUGGUAAUCCAUUCAAAUCAAAUUUGAACCUACCUUUAAAGACCAGAUCUUAUCUAUCUUUGGAUGUGAGAAAGGGAGGA